CAAUAGCGUAUAUUAAAGCUGUUGCGGUUAAAAAGCUCGUAGUUGGAUUUCUGUCAAGGACAACUGGUCCGCCCUCCGGGUGAGCACAUAGUUUGGUCUUGACAUCUUGCUGGAAGCUGCUGCUGCACUUGGCUGUGUGGCGCAGUGUUCAGCACUUUCACUUUGAGGAAAUUGGAGUGUUUCAAGCAGGCACAUGCCUUUGGACACAGUAGCAUGGAAUAAUUAGAUUGGGCUUUUGCUCCAAUUUGUCGGUUUCUGGAGCUGAGGUGAGUAUUAAUGGGGAUUGUUGGGGGCAUCCGAAUUUAGCCGUCAGAGGUGAAAUUCUUGGAUCUGCUAAAGACGGACAACUGCGAAAGCGUUUGCCCAGGAUGUUUUCAUUGA
rnacentral:rRNA from 1 species